rnacentral:rRNA from 1 species
AUUGAACGCUGGCGGCAGGCCUAACACAUGCAAGUCGAACGAGUGGCGGACGGGUGAGUAAUGUCUGGGAGACUGCCUGAUGGCGGGGGAUAACUACUGGAAAGGGUAGCUAAUACCGCAUGCCAUCAGAUGUGCCCAGAUGGGAGUGGCUAGGUGGUGGGGUAACGGCUUACCCAGGCGACGGUGCCUAGCUGGUCUGAGCGGAUGACCGGCCACACUGGCACUGAGACACGGGCCAGACUCCUACGGGAGGAAGCGGUGGGGAAUAUUGGACCAUGGGCGCAAGCCUGAUGCAGCCAUGCCGCGUGGAUGAGGAAGGCCUUCGGGUUGUAAAGUACUUUCAGCGGGGAGGCGUUACCCGCAGAAGAAGCACCGGCUAACUCCGUGCCAGCAGCCGCGGUAAUAC